GAUGAACGCUGGCGGCGUGCCUAAUACAUGCAAGUCGAGCGAACGGACGAGAAGCUUGCUUCUCUGAUGUUAGCGGCGGACGGGUGAGUAACACGUGGAUAACCUACCUAUAAGACUGGGAUAACUUCGGGAAACCGGAACUAAUACCGGAUGAUAUUUUGAACCGCAUGGUUCAAAAGUGAAAGACGGUCUUGCUGUCACUUAUAGAUGGAUCCGCGCUGCAUUAGCUAGUUGGUGAGGUAACGGCUUACCAAGGCAACGAUGCAUAGCCGACCUGAGAGGGUGAUCGGCCACACUGGAACUGAGACACGGUCCAGACUCCUACGGGAGGCAGCAGUAGGGAAUCUUCCGCAAUGGGCGAAAGCCUGACGGAGCAACGCCGCGUGAGUGAUGAAGGUCUUCGGAUCGUAAAACUCUGUUAUUAGGGAAGAACAUAUGUGUAAGUAACUGUGCACAUCUUGACGGUACCUAAUCAGAAAGCCACGGCUAACUACGUG
rnacentral:rRNA from 1 species